rnacentral:rRNA from 1 species
AGAGAUGUGUGAUGACGCAUAUCAAUAAGCGGAGGAAAAGAAACUAACAAGGAUUCCCCUAGUAACGGCGAGUGAAGCGGGAAGAGCUCAAAUUUGAAAUCUUAAAGGGUUUCCCUUUACGAAUUGUAGUUUAAAGAAGUGUUUUCUGUUGGAGUUUCGGUAAAAGUUCUUUGGAAUAGGACAUCAUAGAGGGUGAGAAUCCCGUAUUUGACCGUUACUUUCCAGCUGUGUGAUACACUUUCAAAGAGUCGGAUUGUUUGGGAAUGCAGUCCAAAAUGGGUGGUAAAUUUCAUCUAAAGCUAAAUAUUGGCGAGAGACCGAUAGCGAACAAGUACCGUGAGGGAAAGAUGAAAAGAACUUUGAAAAGAGAGUUAAACAGUACGUGAAAUUGUCAAAAGGGAAGCGUUUGACACCAGUGUUGUUUAGUUGAAAAUCAAUUCAAUAAUUUUUGAUCUUGAGUAGUAUUGACUUCAUCAGCUUGCUGCUCUCUUUUCGGAAAUUAUUGAAUGCACUUUUCAGUUAACAAGUCAACAUCAAUUUCUUUUGUUGUAAAAGGGUAAGAGGAAGGUGGCUUACGCUUCGGCGUAAGUGUUUAUAGCCUUUUACCUCUGCAAUCGGAGAGAUUGAGGUCUGCAGCGUAGAUCCUUCGGGGUUAGAUACACUUGUGCUAAGCUAUAGCCUUGUAUAGACAACUUGUUGACUAUGCUCAGUCAUGUAGUUUACUCGCUUAUGCUAUUUUACCUACGCUUAGGAUGUUGAGUCGUAGAGCACGCAG